UUAAUUGAAACUAAAAUAGAAGUAUUUCACUGUUAAUGAAAAAAUUGAUUAUAAAUCCAAUUAAA
rnacentral:tRNA from 1 species